rnacentral:rRNA from 1 species
UUGACCUCGGAUCAGGUAGGGAUACCCGCUGAACUUAAGCAUAUCAAUAAGCGGAGGAAAAGAAACCAACCGGGAUUGCCCCAGUAACGGCGAGUGAAGCGGCAAGAGCUCAAAUUUGAAAUCUGGCCCCUCCGGGGUCCGAGUUGUAAUUUGCAGAGGAUGCUUCGGGUACGGCCCCUGUCUAAG